rnacentral:rRNA from 1 species
ACGGGAGGCAGCAGUGGGGAAUAUUGCACAAUGGGGGAAACCCUGAUGCAGCGACGCCGCGUGAGGGAAGAAGGUUUUCGGAUUGUAAACCUCUGUCAACAGGGACGAAAAUGACGGUACCUGUGAAGGAAGCUCCGGCUAACUACGUGCCAGCAGCCGCGGUAAUACGUAGGGAGCAAGCGUUAUCCGGAAUUACUGGGUGUAAAGGGAGUGUAGGCGGGACUGUAAGUCAGAUGUGAAAUAUACCGGCUCAACUGGUAGACUGCAUUUGAAACUGCGGUUCUUGAGUGAAGUAGAGGUAAGCGGAAUUCCUAGUGUAGCGGUGAAAUGCGUAGAUAUUAGGAGGAACAUCAGUGGCGAAGGCGAUUAACUGGACCACCACUGACGCUGAGACACGAAGGCGUGGGGAGCAAACAGGAUUAGAUACCCUGGUA